rnacentral:rRNA from 1 species
GAUGAACGCUGGCGGCGUGCCUAAUACAUGCAAGUCGAGCGAACAGACGAGGAGCUUGCUCCUCUGACGUUAGCGGCGGACGGGUGAGUAACACGUGGAUAACCUACCUAUAAGACUGGGAUAACUUCGGGAAACCGGAGCUAAUACCGGAUAAUAUAUUGAACCGCAUGGUUCAAUAGUGAAAGACGGUUUUGCUGUCACUUAUAGAUGGAUCCGCGCCGCAUUAGCUAGUUGGUAAGGUAACGGCUUACCAAGGCAACGAUGCGUAGCCGACCUGAGAGGGUGAUCGGCCACACUGGAACUGAGACACGGUCCAGACUCCUACGGGAGGCGGCAGUAGGGAAUCUUCCGCAAUGGGCGAAAGCUUGACGGGGCAACGCCGCGUGAGUGAUGAAGGUCUUCGGAUCGUAAAACUCUGUUAUUAGGGAAGAACAAAUGUGUAAGUAACUAUGCACGUCUUGACGGUACCUAAUCAGAAAGCCACGGCUAACUACGUG